AUUGAACGCUGGCGGCCGGCCUAACACAUGCAAGUCGAGCGAGCGGCGGACGGGUGAGGAAUGUCUGGGAAACUGCCUGAUGGAGGGGGAUAACUACUGGAAACGGUAGCUAAUACCGCAUACCAUCAGAUGUGCCCAGAUGGGAUUAGCUAGUAGGUGGGGUAACGGCUCACCUAGGCGACGCUCCCUAGCUGGUCUGAGAGGAUGGACAGCCACACUGGAACUGAGACACGGUCCAGACUCCGACGGGAGGCAGCAGUGGGGAAUAUUGCACAAUGGGGGCAAGCCUGAUGCAGCCAUGCCGCGUGAGUGAAGAAGGCCUUCGGGUUGUAAAGCACUUUCAGCGGGGAGUCGUUACCCGCAGAAGAAGCAACGGCUAACUCCGUGCCAGCAGCCGCGGUAAUUC
rnacentral:rRNA from 1 species